CCUACGGGUGGCAGCAGUAGGGAAUAUUGCUCAAUGGGCGAAACCCUGAAGCAGCAACGUCGCGUGGAGGAUGAAGGUUUUCGGAUUGUAAACUCCUUUUGUUAGAGAAGAUAAUGACGGUAUCUAACGAAUAAGCAACGGCCAUUUUCGUGCCAGCACCCGCGGUAAUACGGAGGGUGCAAGCGUUACUCGGAAUCACUGGGCGUAAAGAGCGCGUAGGCGGGAUAGCAAGUCAGAUGUGAAAUAAUAUGGCUUAACCAUAGAACUGCAUUUGAAACUGUCAUUCUAGAGUAUGGGAGAGGUAGGUGGAAUUCUUGGUGUAGGGGUAAAAUCCGUAGAGAUCAAGAAGAAUACUCAUUGCGAAGGCGACCUGCUAGAACAUAACUGACGCUGAUGCGCGAAAGCGUGGGGAGCAAACAGGAUUAGAUACCCUUGUAGUC
rnacentral:rRNA from 1 species